CUUGGAACCGGCGUCACUCCCAGCAACGGCCGCGAGAACGUGAAGGAAUUAAUAAGCGAGGAGCGCCGCUGUGGGAAUGGCCGCCCCGUUACAGGAAGCGGCCGGACCGCUGCGCCGCCGCCAUCUUGAGUGCUGGCAAACUGCCUCACUCAUUGUGGGUCGGCCAUCUUGGACGAGGCGGCUGGCUGCGAGGUGACGCCGUGGCCGCCACGUUGAGUGAGGGCAGCGCAAUGAGAUCUUGGCGGCGCUGCCUCGUGAGGUGGUUUACGUUCUAAUUCCUGGGGGCUCGAGGGACAUUUCCUUGCAUAAGAAAUUGUUUAUUGUGAGUUUUUGCGCUUUUGAAGUUUGCAGGGUAGCGGCCUGAUCCUGUAUCUAUAAUCCCACAAUCCUGUUUUCAAAUCCAUCCCUGGAGCAGACGGGGCAAUCUCCGUUCCACCUUUCACAUCUGUGUGGCCACAGGGUGAGCGUCUCCAGCUUCAGAGGCUGCAAACCUGGCAGCCCCCAGGGCCUGUCUGCAUCCAGCUGGAACCUCGGCUUUAAGCACCAGGAUCUGCCAGAGCUCCCUCCUUCAAAGAGGAGCUUAGCAUCCAAAACAGUGUGACGUCUGUGCUGACCUGGCGGGACAGGAGAAGCAACAAGGGAGCUGGAAGGACAAGGCAAGGCAGGAGUGAGAUGGGCACUUUGGUCUGUAAAUGCAUCAUCUCUUCAUCCUGGAAGAGGAUGAAAGUGAGGUUUUUCUCCUUACUGGCUUCCUUUCCACACAAGCCAGUAUGGGCCAUGCAGCUCUCAGAGGAUACUCCUAGAGGAUAGACAACAGCCCAGUUCAUCGGCACAGGCGUGAAGAACUGCACACAGAAAAGGAAUGGGGCAGCCUUCCUACUAUAGUUGUGUCCAGAGCCGGCUGUCACUUCUCCACACAGACGAUGGCACCUGAGCCGGUUUGGAAUCUACAGUUCUAACAAGUUCAGCCAAGUUUUGUAAGCUGAAGAUCUCCAUUAAUCUUUAUUGUGUCAAUUGCUGACAGUGUUUCAAUACGGUGGUAAAAAUCAAAGAGCUGAUGUCCAUCCACAAAUAUUCUAAAACGGGGAUGCUCACAAAGUAUCUCAACCUGUAAAAAAUAAAACGAUGAACUGUGUUCACAA